rnacentral:rRNA from 1 species
UACGUAGGGACCAAGCGUUGUUCGGAUUUACUGGGCGUAAAGGGCGCGUAGGCGGCUUGCCAAGUCACUUGUGAAAUCUCUGGGCUUAACCCAGAACGGCCAAGUGAAACUGGCAUGCUAGUGUGCAGGAGGGGCAAUCGGAAUUCUUGGCGUAGCGGUGAAAUGCGUAGAUAUCAAGAGGAACACCUGAGGUGAAGACGGGUUGCUGGGCUGACGCUGACGCUGAGGCGCGAAAGCCAGGGGAGCAAACGGG